CAGAGGUGUAUUUGUAAGUCGCUCUGGAUAAGAGCGUCUGCUAAAUGACUUAAA
rfam:Salmo salar isolate Sally breed double haploid chromosome ssa03, whole genome shotgun sequence.